ACUCCUACGGGAGGCAGCAGUAGGGAAUCUUCCACAAUGGGCGCAAGCCUGAUGGAGCAACACCGCGUGAGUGAAGAAGGGUUUCGGCUCGUAAAGCUCUGUUGUUAAAGAAGAACACGUAUGAGAGUAACUGUUCAUACGUUGACGGUAUUUAACCAGAAAGUCACGGCUAACUACGUGCCAGCAGCCGCGGUAAUACGUAGGUGGCAAGCGUUAUCCGGAUUUAUUGGGCGUAAAGAGAGUGCAGGCGGUUUUCUAAGUCUGAUGUGAAAGCCUUCGGCUUAACCGGAGAAGUGCAUCGGAAACUGGAUAACUUGAGUGCAGAAGAGGGUAGUGGAACUCCAUGUGUAGCGGUGGAAUGCGUAGAUAUAUGGAAGAACACCAGUGGCGAAGGCGGCUACCUGGUCUGCAACUGACGCUGAGACUCGAGAGCAUGGGUAGCGAACAGGAUUAGAUACCCUGGUAGGAUAGCG
rnacentral:rRNA from 1 species